rnacentral:rRNA from 1 species
CAGUAGCCGCGGGAAUACGUAGGGUCCGAGCGUUGUCCGGAAUUAUUGGGCGUAAAGGGCUCGUAGGCGGUUUGUCGCGUCGGGAGUGAAAACCAGCAGCUUAACUGCUGGCCUGCUUUCGAUACGGGCAGACUUGAGGCAUUCAGGGGAGAACGGAAUUCCUGGUGUAGCGGUGAAAUGCGCAGAUAUCCGGAGGAACACCGGUGGCGAAGGCGGUUCUCUGGGAAUGUUCUGACGCUGAGGAGCGAAAGUGUGGGGAGCGAACAGGAUUAGAUACCCCAGUAGUCCCUGUCUCUUAUAC